rnacentral:lncRNA from 1 species
UCUGGAAUUGUCCUUCUUUCCAGGUGAAAUCUGAUUGUGCUGAUGCUUUGGGGAAGAACAUAUCAGUAUCAAUGGUGAGCAGAAGAGGAGCAGGGAUGAUGAAAGACCACACAUUCUCCAAAAGUCACUAAGCACUGUCCACAGAUCGAACAUUCAUAUUUUCAGAUAGUACUUCCUCUUUAUCUUU